rnacentral:rRNA from 1 species
CACGUAGGGCGCAAGCGUUGUCCGGAAUUAUUGGGCGUAAAGAGCUCGUAGGCGGUCUGUUGCGUCCGCUGUGAAAACCCGGGGCUUAACCCUGGGCUGGCAGUGGAUACGGACAGACUAGAGGUAGGGUAGGGGAGAAUGGAAUUCCCGGUGUAGCGGUGAAAUGCGUAGAGAUCAUGAGGAAGACCAGUGGCGAAGGCGGGUCUCUGGACAGUUCCUGACGCUGAGGCACGAAGGUCAGGGGAGCAAACGGG